AGAGUUUGAUUCUGGCUCAGAACGAACGCUGGCGGCAUGCCUAAUACAUGCAAGUCAAGCGCAUCCCUCGGGAUGAGCGGCGGACGGGUGAGUAACGCGUGGGAAUAUGCCCUUCUCUAAGGAAUAGCCUCUGGAAACGGAGAGUAAUACCUUAUACGCCCUUCGGGGGAAAGAUUUAUCGGAGAAGGAUUAGCCCGCGUUAGAUUAGGUAGUUGGUGGGGUAAUGGCCUACCAAGCCUACGAUCUAUAGCUGGUUUAAGAGGAUGAUCAGCCACACUGGGACUGAGACACGGACCAGACUCCUACGGGAGGCAGCAGUAGGGAAUCUUAGACAAUGGGGGAAACCCUGAUCUAGCCAUGCCGCGUGUGUGAUGAAGGCCUUAGGGUCGUAAAGCACUUUCGCCAGAGAUGAUAAUGACCGUAUCUGGUAAAGAAACCCCGGCUAACUCCGUGCCAGCAGCCGCGGUAAUACGGAGGGGGUUAGCGUUGUUCGGAAUUACUGGGCGUAAAGCGCACGUAGGCGGAUUAUUAAGUUAGAGGUGAAAUCCCAGGGCUCAACCCUGGAACUGCCUUUAAUACUGCUAGUCUUGAAGUUCGAGAGAGGUAAGUGGAAUU
rnacentral:rRNA from 1 species